rnacentral:rRNA from 1 species
CCUACGGGGGGCUGCAGUGGGGAAUAUUGGACAAUGGGGGCAACCCUGAUCCAGCCAUGCCGCGUGUGUGAAGAAGGCCCUCGGGUUGUAAAGCACUUUCAGUGAGGAAGAACGCCUGGUGGUUAAUACCCAUCAGGAAAGACAUCACUCACAGAAGAAGCACCGGCUAACUCCGUGCCAGCAGCCGCGGUAAUACGGAGGGUGCGAGCGUUAAUCGGAAUUACUGGGCGUAAAGCGCGCGUAGGUGGCUUGAUAAGCCGGUUGUGAAAGCCCCGGGCUCAACCUGGGAACGGCAUCCGGAACUGUCAAGCUAGAGUGCAGGAGAGGAAGGUAGAAUUCCCGGUGUAGCGGUGAAAUGCGUAGAGAUCGGGAGGAAUACCAGUGGCGAAGGCGGCCUUCUGGACUGACACUGACACUGAGGUGCGAAAGCGUGGGUAGCAAACAGGAUUAGAUACCCUUGUAGAC